GUUAAGAGGCCGGUGUCGAUCAGCGGCUGUUUGAGGCCUUUCAGAGACGCUGACAUACGAUGAUGAUGAUGUCAUUGAUUCUACACCUGCUCAUCUUUGGGCUCCUUGUUCAGGGUUCAUCAGGAGACAUCCUCCUGACUCAGACUCCUGGAUCUCAGUCUGUUGUUCUAGGACAGACUGUCUCUAUCAGAUGUCAAACCAGCACAAGUGUUAGUACUUACCUCCACUGGUAUCUUCAGAAACCUGGAGAAGCUCCUAAACUCCUGAUCAGUCUGGAGUUUCAGCUCGUUUUAGUGGAAGUGGAUCUGGAACUGACUUCACUCUGACUGUUAGUGGAGUCCAGACUGAAGAUUCAGGAGAUUAUUAUUGUCAGCAGGGUUACAGCUUCCCGUUCACACAGUGAUACAACGUCGUACA